rnacentral:rRNA from 1 species
UACGUAGGGGGCAAGCGUUGUCCGGAUUUACUGGGCGUAAAGAGCGUGUAGGCGGCCAGACAGGUCCGUUGUGAAAUCCCGGGGCUCAACCUCGGGCCUGCAGUCGAUACGGGCAGACUAGAGUGCGGUAGGGGAGACUGGAAUUCCUGGUGUAGCGGUGAAAUGCGCAGAUAUCAGGAGGAACACCGAUGGCGAAGGCAGGUCUCUGGGCCAUUACUGACACUGAGAAGCGAAAGCAUGGGGAGCGAACAGG